UACGGAGGAUGCGAGCGUUAUCCGGAUUCAUUGGGUUUAAAGGGUGCGUAGGCGGUUUUUUAAGUCAGUGGUGAAAUCCUGCGGCUCAACCGUAGAACUGCCAUUGAAACUGAAGAACUUGAAUAUAGUUGAGGUAGGCGGAAUGUGCAGUGUAGCGGUGAAAUGCUUAGAUAUUGCACAGAACACCGAUUGCGAAGGCAGCUUACCAAGCUAUUAUUGACGCUGAGGCACGAAAGCGUGGGGAUCGAACAGGAUUA
rnacentral:rRNA from 1 species